GGUCCAAACUCCUACGGGAGGCAGCAGUCAGGAAUAUUGGUCAAUGGACGGAAGUCUGAACCAGCCAAGUAGCGUGCAGGAUGACGGCCCUAUGGGUUGUAAACUGCUUUUGUAUGGGGAUAAAGUUAGGGACGUGUCCCUAUUUGCAGGUACCAUACGAAUAAGGACCGGCUAAUUCCGUGCCAGCAGCCGCGGUAAUACGGAAGGUCCAGGCGUUAUCCGGAUUUAUUGGGUUUAAAGGGAGCGUAGGCUGGAGAUUAAGUGUGUUGUGAAAUGUAGACGCUCAACGUCUGAAUUGCAGCGCAUACUGGUUUCCUUGAGUACGCACAACGUUGGCGGAAUUCGUCGUGUAGCGGUGAAAUGCUUAGAUAUGACGAAGACUUCCGAUUGCGAAGGCAGCUGACGGGAGCGCAACUGACGCUUAAGCUCGAAGGUGCGGGUAUCAAACAGGAUUAGAUACCCUGGUAGUCCGCACAGUAAACGAUGGAUGCCCGCUGUUGGUACCUGGUAUCAGCGGCUAAGCGAAAGCAUUAAGCAUCCCACCUGGGGAGUACGCCGGCAACGGUGAAACUCAAAGGAAUUGACGGGGGCCCGCACAAGCGGAGGAACAUGUGGUUUAAUUCGAUGAUACGCGAGGAACCUUACCCGGGCUUGAAUUGCAGAGGAAGGAUUUAGAGAUAAUGACGCCCUUCGGGGUCUCUGUGAAGGUGCUGCAUGGUUGUCGUCAGCUCGUGCCGUGAGGUGUCGGCUUAAGUGCCAUAACGAGCGCAACCCCUCUCUUCAGUUGCCAUCAGGUAAUGCUGGGCACUCUGGAGACACUGCCACCGUAAGGUGUGAGGAAGGUGGGGAUGACGUCAAAUCAGCACGGCCCUUACGUCCGGGGCUACACACGUGUUACAAUGGCCGGUACAGAGGGACGGUGUAAUGCAAAUUGCAUCAAAUCUUGAAAGCCGGUCCCAGUUCGGACUGGGGUCUGCAACCCGACCCCACGAAGCUGGAUUCGCUAGUAAUCGCGCAUCAGCCAUGGCGCGGUGAAUACGUUCCCGGGCCUUGCACACACCGCCCGUCAAG
rnacentral:rRNA from 1 species